AAGAAAAUGGAAAACAAGUUGUGAAUUACGGGUAGGCACUUGAAAGGACACAGAAACGAAGGUGGGCAAAGAAUAUGGCUCACUGGUCUUGUCUCUUCUACCCAUCCUACACACAGCUCCCCCGAAGGUGCCUUCCUGCUGUCUCCCAGGACUUCCCCUGGCCCCGCCCCUACCUGGCAAUUCAAUUGCCACAUCAGCAUGAAAUCUUUCCAGAUCCUUCCUAGUCAGCAACUCUCUUUCUCAUGGCCUUCAUCUUGACUCUACAUUGUAUUUACCUGCAUAUACGCAUAACCGCCAAGAAGACUGAAAACUCCCAGAGGGAGAUCAUUUUUCCAAAGCUUUGUCUCUUCCCUAUAGUACCUUAAGUGGUAGAGAUUUAAAAAGUGGAUAAAAAAAUUUCUUCCCCAAAUGUGUCUAAUACCACUACUGGCCCUAAAUAUUUCAUAGGGUUGUUAGGAAGACCAAAUAAAACUCAAGAUGUGAAAGUGCUUUGAAAAAGAAAAAAAGGUCUGUACAAGUAGAAAUUGCCUUGUAAUCAUAAUUACAGCAAACAUUACCAGGAACCUGCCCACACAGGAUGGCUAAGAGUGGAGCUGGCUUUUCCAACACUUGGCAUAGGGACGUGCAAAGGCUGCUCGUCAAUUUAAAUGCAAAACUUUUUCAGCUGUGGCCUUUUAAUGUGCUGCACUCUCCCUUUCCCCAUCACCUACCUUGUGAUCAUAAGAUGAAACAAGUAAGCAGAAGUUUGGACUUUUGUACCAGACUUUUCCGCAGAACUGAGUGGCUAGGAUCCAGAAUAUUUGAAUUCUUGCUCUACUUCCUUGUUUCCUCCAGCAAAUCACUGGACUUCUCUGCUUAAUUUCCUCAUGGGGCUAUUGUAAGGAUUUAAUGAUUAAAUACAAUACACAUAAAACAGCAUUGAAAACAGUGCCUGGUGCAAAGCAAGCAAGCAAUCAUUAUCACAGUUACAAUAAAUCCACUGUGUUUCCUGGUACAGGGCACAUCAGAGAAGGUUCCUGGGAGCUAAUCUUGAUCAGUGGUUGUGAACAAAGAACAAACCAUGGAGGGGACACAGGAGCAGGAAGAAGGGGCUGGUGGUGUGGGUGCCGUGCCUCAGCGGAGACAAAUCUGACUAGCACCCAUGAGGAUGCAGGUUCGAUCCCUGGCCUCGCUCAGUGGGGUUGCUGGUGAGCUGUGGUGUGGGUCGCAGACAUGGCUUGGAUCUGGCAUGGCUGUGGCUGCGGUGUAGGCCAGGGACUACAGCUCCGAUUCUGCCCCUAACCUGGGAACCUCCAAAUGCCGCGGGUGCAGCCCU
rnacentral:lncRNA from 1 species